rnacentral:rRNA from 1 species
UACGUAGGGUGCGAGCGUUAAUCGGAAUUACUGGGCGUAAAGCGUGCGUAGACGGUUAUUUAAGUCGGGUGUGAAAGCCCCGGGCUCAACCUGGGAAUUGCAUUCGAGACUGAAUAGCUAGGGUGCGGUAGAGGGAAGCGGAAUUUCCGGUGUAGCGGUGAAAUGCGUAGAUAUCGGGAGGAACACCAGUGGCGAAGGCGGCCUUCUGGACGGAUACUGACGCUGAGGCGCGAAAGCCAGGGGAGCAAACGGG